UUCUAGCCCCGAUAGAAGCGGCAUCCUUUUUUGCUUUUUCGUAAAUUUUGCUUUGUUUACCAACUUUUCUAAAGCAAAAAAGAUAUAGCGAAUAGCGGGAAAUAGC
rnacentral:sRNA from 1 species